GAUGAACGCUGGCGGCGUGCUUAACACAUGCAAGUCGAACGGAGUUUUAGUGAUUGAUCGAUUAAGCUUGCUUUUGAGAGAUAUUGCUAAAACUUAGUGGCGGACGGGUGAGUAACGCGUGGGUAACCUGCCGUAUACAGGGGGACAACAGUUGGAAACGGCUGCUAAUACCGCAUAAGCGCACGGUACCGCAUGGUACAGUGUGAAAAACUCCGGUGGUAUACGAUGGACCCGCGUCUGAUUAGCUAGUUGGUGAGGUAACGGCCCACCAAGGCGACGAUCAGUAGCCGGCCUGAGAGGGUGGACGGCCACAUUGGGACUGAGACACGGCCCAAACUCCUACGGGAGGCAGCAGUGGGGAAUAUUGCACAAUGGGGGAAACCCUGAUGCAGCAACGCCGCGUGAGUGAAGAAGUAUUUCGGUAUGUAAAGCUCUAUCAGCAGGGAAGAAAAGUGACGGUACCUGACUAAGAAGCCCCGGCUAACUACGUGCCAGCAGCCG
rnacentral:rRNA from 1 species